rnacentral:lncRNA from 1 species
CACCUCCUCAGGUUCCUCAGCUUCUUCCAUGGUCGACCCAAAUAACCGACCCAUCACCGGCUACCUAGCUCCGACCACCAAUAGACACCCACCACCGCAAUUCAAGCUCUGCCACGGCACCUCUACCUUGCGCGCCACCUAGCUGCCUGACGCAUUUCCUAUUCCCGCGAGGCCCUUCUCCCCCACUAUCACUCCUCGAUCUCACGCUGCCGCCCACCACUAGCGCCGCCACCAUCCAUAUUCGAUUCAACUUCAGAAACUGAGAGCACUGUAAGUUUUCUCUUUAAGUUUCAGCUCUUUUCAAGCUCUUGAAACGUGUUUUCCGUGAUUUUGCUUAUGGCUAUAUUCUGUUGCAUUAUUUGAGAAUUUGAAGUAUGUGUGCCUUAUGGGUUGAUUAGAAGAUUAAAUUUCC